GCAGCACGGGGGCNNCCCUGGUGGCGAGUGGCGAACGGGUGAGUAACAUAUCGGAACGUGCCCUGGAGUGGGGGAUAACUAGUCGAAAGAUUAGCUAAUACCGCAUACGAUCUACGGAUGAAAGUGGGGGAUCGCAAGACCUCAUGCUCGUGGAGCGGCCGAUAUCUGAUUAGCUAGUUGGUGGGGUAAAGGCCUACCAAGGCAUCGAUCAGUAGCUGGUCUGAGAGGACGACCAGCCACACUGGGACUGAGACACGGCCCAGACUCCUACGGGAGGCAGCAGUGGGGAAUUUUGGACAAUGGGCGCAAGCCUGAUCCAGCAAUGCCGCGUGAGUGAAGAAGGCCUUCGGGUUGUAAAGCUCUUUUGUCAGGGAAGAAACGGUUCGGGUUAAUACCUUGGGCUAAUGACGGUACCCGAAGAAUAAGCACCGGCUAACUACGUGCCAGCAGCCGCGGUAAUACGUAGGGUGCAAGCGUUAAUCGGAAUUACUGGGCGUAAAGCGUGCGCAGGCGGUUGUGCAAGACAGAUGUGAAAUCCCCGGGCUCAACCUGGGAAUUGCAUUUGUGACUGUACGGCUAGAGUGUGUCAGAGGGGGGUAGAAUUCCACGUGUAGCAGUGAAAUGCGUAGAGAUGUGGAGGAAUACCGAUGGCGAAGGCAGCCCCCUGGGAUAACACUGACGCUCAUGCACGAAAGCGUGGGGAGCAAACNNGAUUAGAUACCCUGGUAGUCCACGCCCUAAACGAUGUCUACUAGUUGUCGGGUCUUUAUUGACUUGGUAACGCAGCUAACGCGUGAAGUAGACCGCCUGGGGAGUACGGUCGCAAGAUUAAAACUCAAAGGAAUUGACGGGGNNCCGCACAAGCGGUGGAUGAUGUGGAUUAAUUCGAUGCAACGCGAAAAACNUUACCUACCCUU
rnacentral:rRNA from 1 species